AUUCCUUCUUCAGUUUGUUUGAUGACAGCGUUGACACUUGUUUCACAGAUGUUGUCUCGAGAGUUUCUUCAAAAUAAUACGCAUACAUACUCUUUGUUGUUUGUACACUCACUAUCUACACUACGACACAAGCAUCUUUUUGUUCAUUAUUAAUUCAAUAUAUUGUGGUUUUUGCGAAACGAUCUGACCAAGAAAAAUGGAAUACAAAAUGAACGAGCCAUCGUACAGAAGUGCCAAUGAAGGCUAUCUGAGUAUGUCGCAGUUGUGGAAGAACGUCUGAUACCAUGCAUUCAAGGGUCCAUCGCAACAGUUACCGAUCCUCAAAUUGGCACCUCCUUCGUCGGCAGCUGGUAUAGGACCCGUAUUUACAUUUAACGAACACAUCAAUCGGUGUUGCUAUCAACAUCCCAGAAUUUAGCUGGAUAGGGUUGUUCAGUUAAAAUGUUAUUCGUCCACAUCAGCGAAAUGUUGCAUAACAUUGCGUCAUCUGAAAUGAAGCUGUACUCUAGCCGUACCUGAUAGUUCUACAGCAUAUACGCCAUUUUGUCAGUAUUAGUAAUCUGCAUUGUAAAUAAAUUAAAUAAUUACUAUCG